rnacentral:rRNA from 1 species
CGCGGCCUAUCAGCUUGUUGGUGAGGUAACGGCUCACCAAGGCAUCGACGGGUAGCUGGUCUGAGAGGACGAUCAGCCACACUGGGACUGAGACACGGCCCAGACUCCUGCGGGAGGCAGCAGUGGGGAAUCUUGCGCAAUGGGCGAAAGCCUGACGCAGCAACGCCGCGUGGGGGAUGAAGGCUCUCGGGUUGUAAACCCCUUUCAGCAGGGACGAAAUUGACGGUACCUGCAGAAGAAGCCCCGGCCAACUACGUGCCAGCAGCCGCGGUGACACGUAGGGGGCGAGCGUUGUCCGGAAUUAUUGGGCGUAAAGAGUUCGUAGGCGGUUUAGUAAGUCAGAUGUGAAAGGUUGGGGCUCAACCCUAAGACUGCAUCCGAUACUGCUAUGACUAGGGUCCGGUAGAGGAGUGUGGAAUUCCUGGUGUAGCGGUGAAAUGCGCAGAUAUCAGGAGGAACACCGACGGCGAAGGCAGCACUCUGGGCCGGUACUGACGCUCAGGAGCGAAAGCGUGGGUAGCAAACAGGAUUAGAUACCCUGGUAGUCCACGCCGUAAACGUUGGGCACUAGGUGUGGGGCCUUAUCAACGGGUUCCGUGCCGUAGCUAACGCAUUAAGUGCCCCGCCUGGGGAGUACGG